rnacentral:rRNA from 1 species
GGGUUGUGAGGUUAAGCGACUAAGCGUACACGGUGGAUGCCCUGGCAGUCAGAGGCGAUGAAGGACGUGCUAAUCUGCGAUAAGCGUCGGUAAGGUGAUAUGAACCGUUAUAACCGGCGAUUUCCGAAUGGGGAAACCCAGUGUGAUUCGUCACACUAUCAUUAACUGAAUCCAUAGGUUAAUGAGGCGAACCGGGGGAACUGAAACAUCUAAGUACCCCGAGGAAAAGAAAUCAACCGAGAUUCCCCCAGUAGCGGCGAGCGAACGGGGAGCAGCCCAGAGCCUGAAUCAGUGUGUGUGUUAGUGGAAGCGUCUGGAAAGGCGCGCGAUACAGGGUGACAGCCCCGUACACAAAAAUGCACAUAUUGUGAGCUCGAUGAGUAGGGCGGGACACGUGGUAUCCUGUCUGAAUAUGGGGGGCCCAUCCUCCAAGGCUAAAUACUCCUGACUGACCGAUAGUGAACCAGUACCGUGAGGGAAAGGCGAAAAGAACCCCGGCGAGGGGAGUGAAAAAGAACCUGAAACCGUGUACGUACAAGCAGUGGGAGCACGCUUAGGCGUGUGACUGCGUACCUUUUGUAUAAUGGGUCAGCGACUUAUAUUCUGUAGCAAGGUUAACCGAAUAGGGGAGCCGAAGGGAAA